rnacentral:rRNA from 1 species
CCUACGGGAGGCUGCAGUGGGGAAUAUUGGACAAUGGGGGCAACCCUGAUCCAGCCAUGCCGCGUGUGUGAAGAAGGCCCUCGGGUUGUAAAGCACUUUCAGUGAGGAAGAACGCCUGGUGGUUAAUACCCAUCAGGAAAGACAUCACUCACAGAAGAAGCACCGGCUAACUCCGUGCCAGCAGCCGCGGUAAUACGGAGGGUGCGAGCGUUAAUCGGAAUUACUGGGCGUAAGCGCGCGUAGGUGGCUUGAUAAGCCGGUUGUGAAAGCCCCGGGCUCAACCUGGGAACGGCAUCCGGAACUGUCAAGCUAGAGUGCAGGAGAGGAAGGUAGAAUUCCCGGUGUAGCGGUGAAAUGCGUAGAGAUCGGGAGGAAUACCAGUGGCGAAGGCGGCCUUCUGGACUGACACUGACACUGAGGUGCGAAAGCGUGGGUAGCAAACAGGAUUAGAUACCCCGGUAGUC